rnacentral:rRNA from 1 species
CCAGCUCCAAUAGCGUAUACUAAAGUUGUUGCAGUUAAAAAGCUCGUAGUUGAAUAUCUGGUUGGGGAAUGCGGUCUGCCUCAAGGGGCGUGUACCUGCAGUCUCCAGCCAUCUUCGGAGAAUGCGUAUCUGUCAUUCAGUUGAUGGGUACGAGGACUCUGUCAUUUACUGUGAGCAAAAUAGAGUGUUCAAAGCAGGCAUUAUGAUUAAUGCUCCAAGGUAAUGAUUAAUAGGGACAGUUGGGGGUAUUCGUAUUCAAUUGUCAGAGGUGAAAUUCUUGGAUUUCUGGAAGACGAACUACUGCGAAAGCAUUUACCAUGGAUGUUUUCA